rnacentral:lncRNA from 1 species
AGACCAACGACUAAGGCAGAAAAUAACCCUAAGCGAGCCCAAGUAUAUAUGCGAUCAUAGCUUUGUUUACAUGUAAUCUUGGACAGUACAGCUCUGGUAUUUUCACGAACAAUGACGUGAUUUAGGCUCAUGACGCAAGCAUAGCAUGAAUGGCAACGGUCAAGCUGCUAGGUGCAUUACAGCCAAACAUCGUGCAUUCAAUCAGAAGGUUUGCCUAAGCAACUCUUCAUAAUGCCAGGUCUUCCAUGCUGUGUGCUAGUCCACUUACUUUCAUAAACCGGCUGCCACCACCCAUCACCUUCAGGAUGACACAUACAUUAAUCAAUACAUAAAAGCUACUCAUGAGGUUAUAAGGCAGCUUGCAGUCCCUUCCGUGCACUGCAAUAUGCCAGGUAAUGAUACCCUCUCCAAUCAUGUUCACAUAGCCAGCGCCACUAAGCAACGACCAACCUGUCUCUCCCCCCUGUAAAUCUGAAACUUCGAAAUCAGUGUCAUCUUCCCCCUGCCACCAUGCGCUAGGGAAUCCAAACUCCUGGCCCUGCUGCUCUACCAUGGUCUCACCACGGGUCUCGGUCACUCCACCCUGGGGAAAAGUACUGCAGCAUACUACAGGUGGCAGGUGAACACCGUCCAGCACAGCUCAGGAUUACCGAACGGUCUCCCCAUUAGUCCUCCUUCAGUCCGCCCCGCUUUUCACACAUGGACUUUGGACACCAGCAGUUCAAUCCCCCUCCACACACACCAAAAGCAUCAGGUAGCCUGCCCCUAACAGCCCAGGGGUAGUCCCCUCCACCUGCUGUAGCUACAGCCCAGGGGUAGUCCCCUCCACCUGCUGUAGCUACAGCCCAGGGGUAGUCCCCUCCACCUGCUGGAGCUACAGCCCAGGGGUAGUCCCCUCCACCUGCUUGAGCUACAGCCCAGGGGUAGUCCCCUCCACCUGCUGGAGCUACAGCCCAGGGGUAGUCCCCUCCACCUGCUGGAGCUACAGCCGCCAACACUGCCCUGUGCUCCCCCAUAGCUCCAUGGAUGCCAGGUACCCCCUGGACCGCUAUCAGCUGCACACGGCGCAUAGCAGUCAGUGGUGGCUGGUAGGGGCACCCUCAUCAGGGUAUUGCAAAGAAUGAGUGUGUAGCAGCUGACCGCUGAAAAGGUCUCUCGAGUUGCUGGUGGUCACGCUCUGCACAUAUUUAUAGCGCCGUACUGUGUACCGGCUGCUACAUUCCCCCCCCUUUGAAGGGAACCAUCUCGGGCCCUUAGAGCCUCGUAUACCACCAGCCUGUGCCUACCUUCGCCUACCCUCGGGCAGUGGGUAACUACUCCAUGUCACUACUCCAUGUCAUGUCAUAUACGGGCUAACAUGCGCCUAGCCAUCUUCAGAUU